rnacentral:rRNA from 1 species
UACGAAGGGGGCUAGCGUUGUUCGGAAUUACUGGGCGUAAAGCGCGCGUAGGCGGAUUGUUAAGUUAGGGGUGAAAUCCCGGGGCUCAACCCCGGAACUGCCUUUAAUACUGGCAAUCUCGAGUCCGAGAGAGGUGAGUGGAAUUCCGAGUGUAGAGGUGAAAUUCGUAGAUAUUCGGAGGAACACCAGUGGCGAAGGCGGCUCACUGGCUCGGUACUGACGCUGAGGUGCGAAAGCGUGGGGAGCAAACAGG